rnacentral:rRNA from 1 species
UACGGGGGGAGCAAGCGUUGUUCGGAUUUACUGGGCGUAAAGGGCGCGUAGGCGGCCACCGCAAGUCGACUGUGAAAUCUCCGGGCUUAACCCGGAAAGGUCAGCCGAUACUGCGGGGCUAGAGUGCAGAAGGGGCAACUGGAAUUCUCGGUGUAGCGGUGAAAUGCGUGGAUAUCGAGAGGAACACCUGCGGCGAAGGCGGGUUGCUGGGCUGACACUGACGCUGAUGUGCGAAAGCUAGGGGAGCGAACGGG